AUUGUACGGCUAGCGCUGAGUCCUCACCGCUUCCUCCCCGGUCGGCCUUCCGUCCAUCGAGUGUGAUCGACCCGGUUUCCUGCUCCCUGACCGUUACCUGACGCUGCCUCCGCUGAGGCAGAAUCCUCCCGUUACCUGGUUCUUAAAUAAAACCUUUAAACUUC